GCCUGAGUGGCUCAGUCAUUAAGCAUCUGACUUCAGCUCAGUUCAUGAUCUCAUGGUUCAUGAGUUUGAGUCCCAUAUCAGGUG
rnacentral:tRNA from 1 species